CCUGGGCCCAGCUUCUUCGUUGAGCCAUAUUGCGCAGCCCAUCAGAGAGAGACAAGGCCUCAACCUUAUCCAUGAACGCGGCCGAUAGCUCGCUGCUCGCUGCCCCUCCCACGCCUCCCUCGCGCGGACAGUAUAGGGCAUGCCUUUGGAUCAUGUGUAUUUUAUCUGCUCAAGAUGUGUGUACAAGAAUAAGUAGGCUGGAGUUGGCAAUAAGUGGUGACCCGGAGGCUAAGAUUAUUGAUUGCCCAUUUGAUUGCAUCUGUGGAGAACUGAAGAUAUCCAGCUGAAUUUUCUUGUGGACAUAACAAUCAAAAGCAUGAGAGGAAUCGAACAAAGAUUGAAUUUGUGUUUUUGAGAAGCCUACUUAGGUCAGCCACAUCACUCCGACGGAUCACAUUGGCUUUCCAUGGUAUGAUUAUGAGUCCUGACAAUGGGGAGCCAUUCCAGAACUUCCUGGUUGAACUAUCCAGCCUGAUGAAAUUCAAGGAAAUUUACCGCGCUGAGAGAUCCGCAUUCAGACCAAACUGGGAGUAAGCGUGAUCAUUCAGAAACAGCGUGCUACAGAUCAACACCAAAAUUCCUAAAUUGCAUGUCCUUGCCAAAAUUGUAAUAGACAAUGUGUAAUGCUUGUAUUAUAUUUUUCUGCCUUCUAAUAUAUUCGACAAUACUCUUGCCGCUUUCAUAUAAAAAAACCACCAAAAUUCCGAAUAACUGAAGGC